CUGCGCCACGCUACCCACCGCGCGAAAACCAUAGAGUUCCCGGACCGGUUCCUUCCUGUCUUUUUCACUCGCGGCGCCCGGCGGAAGGGGGUGAGGCGGCGCCUGCGUGCCCGCACGCGUGAGGCACUUAAAAAUAAAAACCAGGCACUUCACACUGUUUAGAGACAUUGAAGAAGAAAUAUAGAGCUCUUCAUGCACAUGAGAAUCAGAUUCAAACAGAGGUUACGUGAUGCUUCAUGCUGUGGUAGCUGAAAUCAAGACUGGGAGCCUGGGUUUCUAAAAAGCAAAGGAAUCACAUAUUGAUACCUGUGGACAUGACAACAGCCAGGACAAAAGUGCGAGUUUCCCUGCAGGACUGAUACCAGAAAAGUCAAGAUGGCUUGGCAAAGCACGUUCAUUUCCUUCAGAUGGGAAGGGUUUCACUGAAGUCUUAGUGCACAAGACACAGUCCCCUCAGAGCUGAGCUGCGUUGUUACUUACACAGAUGCAAAGCUGUCCAGCUGGAGGAGUUGCUACUUGCAAAGGCAUGGGUUUCGCACACAUGCUCGCACUCUGCCACAGUUGCCUCUGCCACAAUCGCUUUGGUCUUCCCUGGAUUAAGUUUUUAACUUAAGCUGCCUGUCUCAGCUGAACUUCAAAGAACCCAGGAAAGCACAUCAUCUGGUUACAGGGAGCAGAGGUGCAGAACCAAGUGACAUGAGAGCACCUGUGCAAAUCCAGCUGAUGCCAUUGCAGAGGCUGAAGGUACCAUCUGCUCAUGAGUGCUGGAAGUUGAAUCCACCAGUUGAACUGCUUGUAGGCAGCAGAAGCAAGAUAUGGAAACACGAUCAGAGGGCACUGCUUGAUGCUUCUGCUUCUUUCUGAUCCUUUGGUGUAACCAUUCUGGCCUAAGGAAAACCAGACC